rnacentral:rRNA from 1 species
GAUGAACGCUGGCGGCGUGCCUAAUACAUGCAAGUCGAGCGAACGGACGAGAAGCUUGCUUCUCUGAUGUUAGCGGCGGACGGGUGAGUAACACGUGGAUAACCUACCUAUAAGACUGGGAUAACUUCGGGAAACCGUAGCUAAUACCGGAUAAUAUUUUGAACCGCAUGGUUCAAUAGUGAAAGACGGUUUUGCUGUCACUUAUAGAUGGAUCCGCGCUGCAUUAGCUAGUUGGUAAGGUAACGGCUUACCAAGGCAACGAUGCAUAGCCGACCUGAGAGGGUGAUCGGCCACACUGGAACUGAGACACGGUCCAGACUCCUACGGGAGGCAGCAGUAGGGAAUCUUCCGCAAUGGGCGAAAGCCUGACGGAGCAACGCCGCGUGAGUGAUGAAGGUCUUCGGAUCGUAAAACUCUGUUAUUAGGGAAGAACAUAUGUGUAAGUAACUAUGCACAUCUUGACGGUACCUAAUCAGAAAGCCACGGCUAACUACGUG